rnacentral:rRNA from 1 species
UACAGAGGUCUCAAGCGUUGUUCGGAUUUACUGGGCGUAAAGGGCGCGUAGGCGGUCAGCACAAGUCAGUUGUGAAAUCUCCGGGCUUAACUCGGAAAGGUCAACUGAUACUGUGCGACUAGAGUGCAGAAGGGGCAACUGGAAUUCUUGGUGUAGCGGUGAAAUGCGUAGAUAUCAAGAGGAACACCUGCGGCGAAGGCGGGUUGCUGGGCUGACACUGACGCUGAGGUGCGAAAGCGUGGGGAGCAAACAGG